rnacentral:rRNA from 1 species
GGGAGAAGAUAGGAAAAUCCGUCUUCUAUUAAAACCCUAAGAGGUGAUAGGGAGCUGCUAUGGCAGCGAACUGAUCGAUCCUACACUGCCAAGAAAAGCCUCUAAACAAGAUAACCUGGUAUCCGUACUAAAACCGACACAGGUAGGUAGGUAGAGAAUACCAAGGCGCUCGAGAUAACCCUCGUUAAGGAACUCGGCAAAAUGACUCCGUAACUUCGGGAGAAGGAGUGCCCCGGUAGGGUGAGUUGAUUUACUCAUACAAGCCCGAAGGGGUUGCAAAGAAACGGCCCAAGCGACUGUUUACUAAAAACACAGGUCUCUGCUAAAUCGAAAGAUGAUGUAUAGGGACUGACGCCUGCCCGGUGCUGGAAGGUUAAGGAAGGAGGUUACCCCUCGUAAGAGGGGGAAGCUUCUGACCGAAGCCCCAGUAAACGGCGGCCGUAACUAUAACGGUCCUAAGGUAGCGAAAUUCCUUGUCGGGUAAGUUCCGACCUGCACGAAUGGCGUAACGAUUUGGGCACUGUCUCAACGAGGGACUCGGUGAAGUUGUAGUGUAAGUGAAGAUGCUUACUACCCGCGACAGGACGGAAAGACCCCGUGAACCUUUACUGUAGCCUGAUAUUGAAUUUUAGCAUAUCCUGUGUAGGAUAGGUGGUAGGCUGUGAAAGAGGGGCGUUAGCCUCUCCGGAGCCAUCCUUGAAAUACCACCCUUGGUAUGUUUGGGUUCUAACCUUUCGCCGUUAUCCGGCAAAGGGACAGUAUUUGGUGGGCAGUUUGACUG